GCGUCCUUAGUGUAACGGGUUAGAGCACGCGCUCCCGAAAAGAGUGAGAUCUGGGUUCGAGUCCCGCCUGACGCA